UACGUAGGGUGCGAGCGUUAAUCGGAAUUACUGGGCGUAAAGGGUGUGUAGGCGGUUGUUUAAGUUUGGUGUGAAAUCUCCCGGCUCAACCGGGAGGGUGCGCCGAAUACUGAAUGACUUCGAGUGCGGGAGAGGAAAGUGGAAUUCCUGGUGUAGCGGUGAAAUGCGUAGAUAUCAGGAGGAACACCGGUGGUGUAGACGGCUUUCUGGACCGUAACUGACGCUGAGACACGAAAGCGUGGGUAGCAAACAGG
rnacentral:rRNA from 1 species